rnacentral:rRNA from 1 species
GAUAACUACGGAAAAGCUGUAGCUAAUACUUGCUUUAUUAUCCUUUGAUUUUUAUCUUUGGAUAAGUAUUUGUUAGGCCUUAUAAGAAAAAAGUUAUUAACUUAAGGAAUUAUAACAAAGAAGUAACACGUAAUAAAUUUAUUUUAUUUAGUGUGUAUCAAUCGAGUUUCUGACCUAUCAGCUUUUGAUGUUAGGGUAUUGGCCUAACAUGGCUAUGACGGGUAA